rnacentral:rRNA from 1 species
UACGUAAGUGGCGAGCGUUAUCCGGAAUUACUGGGCGUAAAGCGUGCGUAGGCGGUUUAGUGUGUGGGAAUUGAAAGCCCGGGGCUCAACUCCGGAUCCGGUUCCCAAACUGCUAGACUCGAGCGUAUCAGAGGACAGUGGAAUUCCCGGUGUAGCGGUAAUAUGCGUAGAUAUCGGGAGGAACACCAGUGGCGAAGGCGACUGUCUGGGGUAUUGCUGACGCUGAGGCGCGAAAGCUAGGGGAGCAAACGGG